CAGAGUUACUUGGAAACGUCACGAGAAAAAGAAAAGGUUAAGGUAGCAUCAGGACGAGCACUGCAGAUCAGUCGUUUAACAGCACAAAAAAGAUCCACAAGCAAAGAGCCAGAAGUGUCUCAUGCUCUAUGCAAUUUCACUGGCAUGGACUCUGUCACUGAUGGCAGACACUGAAAAAUUGAGGAUGCCUGAGGUUGGCCUGGAGGAGCAAAGUAUGUCUAUUUAUGAAAUUUGCAACAGAAUCCUUUGUUUUCCUUGUAGCCUUCUCAUCUUCUCUCCCACAAGGGAUAAAAUACGAACAACAGAAAUAUGCAAGUUGUGACUCUACCCAAUUAAUCCUCACCAUUUCCAAACUACUUGGCAGCAGCCUGUUCUCCUUCAUUACAACACCAUUCAAAAUCACCGAGCAAACAAUAUUACAGUCAGAAUGCUAAACCUC